rnacentral:rRNA from 1 species
CCUACGGGCGGCAGCAGUGAGGAAUAUUGGUCAAUGGACGAGAGGCUGAACCAGCCAAGUAGCGUGAAGGAUGACUGCCCUAUGGGUUGUAAACCUCUUUUAUCUGGGAGUAAAGUGUUCCACGUGUGGGGUUUUGUGUGUACCAGAUGAAUAAGGAUCGGCUAACUCCGUGCCAGCAGCCGCGGUAAUACGGAGGAUGCGAGCGUUAUCCGGAUUUAUUGGGGUUAAAGGGAGCGUAGGUGGUAUGUUAAGUCAGUGGUGAAAGUUCGCGGCUCAACCGCCUACUUGCCGUUGAAACGGGCAGUCUUGAGUACAGGAGAGGUAGGCGGAAUGCGUGGUGUAGCGGUGAAAUGCUUAGAUAUCACGAAGAACUCCGAUUGCGAAGGCAGCUCACUGGACUGCAACUGACACUGAGGCUCGAAAGCGUGGGUAUCGAACAGGAUUAGAUACCCUUGUAGUC